GCUGUUGGCAAACACUUAAAUAAAUGAACUGAAUUGAAUAUUUGAAGGUAAUAAUCAUAAUAUACUACGAAAGUUAUGUAUUUGGCUACCGAAGGCAAAUACACCCUAAAAAAAUUCAUAUUUGUAAUAUCAGUGACAAACGUCUUCCACGAAACUUUCACAGAUCGCAGCAACCCCAUCUAUGAAAUUCUAACGAAAUAACAUUUAACUGCACUUUGUGUCAUGCGGUCAUUCGACCGGUACCACAGUUCUUCUUCAGCUCUUGCUUUGACCGCGUCAACACAAGGUCUUCUCUGUGUACUGAGGAGAAAUUAUUCCUACCAUCAGCCUGACAGGCGGUUUUCAGUCCCAGGAAAGAAUGUCACCUAGGAAAUCGAGAGGUGAAGCACUUACAGAAACACACUGGAGAUACCAACAUAGUAGUGGAAUAAUUAAUUCAUCUAAGACAAUGUACGUACGGCAGUGGCUAUGUUCAAAGAAACGGUUCGAGAUCUCUCACUCAGUUAAACAGUGAUUCUGUUGAUGAACAGAGCGAAGUUCACAACUUCAUGUAGCCGCCGGUCAUGUGUU